AGACACUUUGGAAGAUGUUUCUAGCUAAUACAAACAUCCAGGACAAGAAAAGCUGCCGCAGCAUUAGGUUGGAUUUCCAUCUCUUUUUCAUCCAGGGCACCUGCUCCCCUUUCCCUCCCCCCAGUCUUCCCAGCUGUCUGUCUGUCUCAUUUAUGUCAAUUAGAGAUUCAAUGCUGCCUGAUUUAAUUGGCCUGACUUUCCCCUCUAACAGAAACCCAGCGGAAGGCAGGGCGUGCAGGCGGCUCUCUGGGCAGGCCGACCGACCGACCGAGGCGGCUCUCGUGGCCGCGAGGGCAGCGACGUGUUUGCAGAGCACAAUAACCUGUUUGUCAUCAUCCGCCAGGAAUCGUAAGCGAAAGGCUGGCAACCUCCUAAUUGGGACCGGGACAACGGCGUCGUUAAAAGCGCAGCGGUGCACGUGAAUCGGUGAGGAAUCUGUGCAACUGGUUGCUCACCUUGGGUUGUUUUUUUUGGUGCUUUUAAAGAGGUCGACGGUCGCUCCCCGAGCUGAAGCUGCCUCCUCUUUGGAGGCCUGGUUGCAGGACUCCCCUGACCGCAGCCGUGGAGCUGCCAUCGGUGCUGCUCACCGCCAGCGAAGGUGGCCGAGGGCCGGGCCUGGCGCCCGUGGGGCAGCAGACCUGGAAGCAAAAUGGCUCGGCAGCAACCUCCGCCGUCCCCCCGCCGUCCCUCGCCAGCCAAGGCGCGGGAACUGGACCUGACCUACUUCUGCUCCCGGCUCCUCGCUUGCAUUUCCCUGACAAAUUAGCAGGCCCGUCCUCAUCGCUCAGAAGAAAUGAGUUUCCCAAGUAGCCGGCCCACGGAGGCAUAAAUAUUAAACAGCAACAGUACCAUCUAGUGACUUUGACUUACAGGCAACAUCAGUUAAGAAGAAGAAGAGGAAAUCUGAGAAUUAGCGAGGCCGAGCAAGGCCCCAGGGCUGCGGAGGAGAUCUUAUCCUUUUGCUCGUCCUGAUUCAGGAGGUGAGCCUUGCCCGCGCCGCGACCGUCUCCCCCGUGGAGCGCGGUGCAGUGAUGGGGAGGAAGCAAGACCAUCGCUACCUCCCAGCUGAACCCAGCGCUGACCCACGCUCCCUCUGCUGGUACUGAGCUCCCGUUUUUAAUGUGUUCACAACUUUCUGCCCAGACACACGCACCAGCUCCUUGCAAAGGCAAAACGUGAGAUUUAGCGCUGCGGUGCUUCCUCAGUCCCAAUAAAUACGCACCUUUGCACUACGGAGAGCCACCAGUCAACUCAUGGAGGAGACACGUGAAAUAAACACAGAAAAUUCCACUUAGGACCUCAAAAACAGGCCCCCAAGCUUCGCCUAAAGUGUGUGCAAACUCACAGGCCUCCUCCAAGCCGACCUGGGGUUACAUCCCAUCCGUACUCAAGGUGGCAACUUUUCACAGUUGUUUUCUAACACAAAUGCGCUACCUAUUUCCCAGUUAAGAGGCUUUUACUAUGUGCAUGAAACGCAUGUGACGGAAGAGAAGUGACAGAAAACACAAUACUGCCCAACUUAAACACUUAAAUGUUAUACGAAGGCUAUUAAAUGCCAUCAGUGCUUCCACAAGAAAUUGCUUCACCGUCUAAUCGAAUGUGUCCCCUCUUCGCUAUCGUGAGCGCCGCUCUGCCCGGAGUCCAGCCAGCCUUGCUCGUGGGCUGAUGGGUGCCUGACAAUUUUCUGGUUUCAAAUUAAACAGAAAACUAAAUUAGCAAAUUAAUUGUUUGCCGUGUUUUUCCUGGCUCCCCAUCAGCUGCCUCAGGAGCUGCAGCCAAUCCAGGGCCCCUCUCCGCAGUCCCGAGCAGGAGGUGGAGCCCCGCGCCGGGUCCUGCUAUCUGCCAAGUGUCAGUCAUGUUAAUUUUAAAUUACUUUUGUACAGCUUGGUGUCAAAACGAUUAAAGCAUGAAAAGAAAAACUGAACUAGAGAGCGGGAAGUGGCGGGGAGAAAGAGAGAAUGAAUAAUUUACCUUGCAUUUACAGCAAGGACACUUAGGUUUCUCCAACUCCUCAACUCCAAGAAGCUGAAACUUUUAUUUCCUCCUCUCUAACCUGCCCUGGGCUACGUCUUCUGAGCAAGUGCUCUGGGUCCUCACAGCCUGCAAGGGGCAAUAGCUGCUCGCCGCAGAAAGCCAUGAUAUUAUCUCCAUUUCUUUCCAGGUGAGAGUUUUCUCUGCAUCGCAUUUGCCAUUUGUGGCACUCACCAACGCAAGCCAACAAACCCACCCACCCGCCUGCAGGCAUCUUCUCCCUUUCUCGGCGCUCCGCUCCCCACCGGGUUUGCUCCGAAACCUGCACAUCCUGUGCUGGGUAAUUAUAUACUCAGAAAAUAUAUAAACACGUAAUCAGCUGCUGCCUGAAAUGUGCAAGGAGAAUUAGUGUCUCCUCAGACUCCCUCACGCAUGCAUAAAACGUACAUUCAAAAAGAUUUGCGAAGAGCGCAACUUCACCUGCAAAGUUAAGACAGGCUUAGCCACUUUUGUUAGUGUUUACCACGUCUUCGGAAUCAUACAUAGGAGCAUUUUUCCAUCCAGUAAAGGAAAGAGUGAUUAACGCAGACGUGCCAGGUCCCAAACAGGUCGCGCGACUGGAUGAAAAGCGCUCUUGAAAUUCGCUUCUCCGAAAGUACUUGCCCAACUUCUCUAGCGUGUUUGCUUUGGCUCCGUAAUCUCCGCAUCUCCUAAUCCUCACGGCUACAGCUCCUGCGACCUGCAGUGCGGUCUCCAGCGAGAGGUGGGAAGGCAAACAGAGACGCCCGCAACUGCAUCCGCGCUGCUGAUGUAUUUGAGCAAACUCCGCCGUCCCAUUCUCCCCAGUAUUUGCGUUGCCUCCACUUGGAGCAUGGAAAUGCCGUAUUUUUGCAGAGCCUAGGAACUGCGACUAGGCUACAGCGUUGCACAGGCUUCGGCUUAAACAUGCAGGCGUGGAAAUGUUUCUUUCAUUAACAGUGGGAUUCCCUUCACAUGGCAAUGUUUCUUCAGCUGCUGACCCACAAAUAAAUCAUUUAACUGAC